UACGGAGGAUGCGAGCGUUAUCCGGAUUUAUUGGGUUUAAAGGGUGCGUAGGCGGCCGAGUAAGUCAGCGGUGAAAUUUUGCAGCUUAACUGUAACAGUGCCGUUGAUACUGCAUGGCUAGGAUUUGGUUGCUGUGGGUGGAAUGUGUGGUGUAGCGGUGAAAUGCUUAGAUAUCACACAGAAUAUCGAUUGCGAAGGCAGCUCACAAAGCCAAGAUUGACGCUGAGGCACGGAAGUGUGGGGAUCAAACA
rnacentral:rRNA from 1 species